AGUAGAUUUAUCCUAAAACUAAGUAACUUAUUAUGCUAAAAAAGUUACUGCAGUAACUGAAAGCAACAAAAUUUCAACAAGAUGAUUCCAUGCAGGUUGUAGAGCUUGAUUUUCUCUACCCAAGUGAAGGAAUACAUCGACGAUGGGAAAGUGGUUAUCGAAUAACUUCUAUGGCUGCUACUGCUGAUCAAGCAGCCUUCAUAUUGAGCGUACCAAGACGUAAAAUGAUUGAUGAGACUCAAGAGACCUUGCGGACAUCUGCCUUCCCAAGCACCCAUGUAAAGGAAAAAUGGUCCAAGAAUCUUUACAUUGCAUCCAUCUGUUAUGGUCGAACUGUCUCUUGAGGAUGUUGGUCGCCGUGAUCUCAAUGUUUCUAGAAGAGAUAUGGAGGAUGAAUUCAUCUGGUCAAAGCUGGAUUAGCCAGUCCUCAUUUUUUGUCUGUAAACUAUGUUUUGUACGACAGCAUACUGGAAAAUAGGAGAAACAAACACCACUUAAGAACUUGCAGAAUCAAGGCCUGAAAGCAGGCUGGAGCACCAAUUGGGUGGCUGACCAAAAUUUACUAGUUUUGGCAGUUAAGGCUUCCAACAUUUGCAUUUUUUGUACCUCAAAUUAAAAGGGUCCAUUUAUUCCAUAAUAUUAUUGAUUCUUGCUGCCAUGUGGUUGCAUCUACCCUAAAUGUUUCUACUAGGGCGCUGCUGCUGGAUGGCUGAGUGAUA